rnacentral:rRNA from 1 species
UACAGAGGUGGCAAGCGUUGUUCGGAAUUACUGGGCGUAAAGGGCGCGUAGGCGGUCUUGCAAGUCCUGUGUGAAAUCCCUCGGCUCAACUGAGGAACUGCACAGGAAACUGCUUGGCUUGAGUUCGGGAGAGGGAAGCGGAAUUCCGGGUGUAGCGGUGAAAUGCGUAGAUAUUCGGAAGAACACCAGUGGCGAAGGCGACUAACUGGACAUGUAUUGACGCUGAGGUGCGAAAGCGUGGGGAGCAAACAGG